CGGCCAAGAUAAAUGCACCUAAAUGC
rnacentral:piRNA from 1 species